rnacentral:tRNA from 1 species
GAGGGUAUAUCUUAGCAGUAGAGUGCCUGCUUAGCAUGCAGAGGUCCUGGGUUCAAUCUCCAGCACCUCCA